UACGAAGGGUGCAAGCGUUACUCGGAAUUACUGGGCGUAAAGCGUGCGUAGGUGGUUCGUUAAGUCUGAUGUGAAAGCCCUGGGCUCAACCUGGGAAUGGCAUUGGAAACUGGCGACCUAGAGUGCGGUAGAGGGUAGUGGAAUUCCCGGUGUAGCAGUGAAAUGCGUAGAGAUCGGGAGGAACCAUCGAUGGCGAAGGCGGACUCACCGUGGACCAGC
rnacentral:rRNA from 1 species